rnacentral:rRNA from 1 species
GUGGGGAAUAUUGGGCAAUGGGGGAAACCCUGACCCAGCAACGCCGCGUGGAGGAAGAAGGUCUUCGGAUCGUAAACUCCUGUCCUAAGAGACGAGCAGGAGACGGUAUCUUAGGAGGAAGCCCCGGCUAACUACGUGCCAGCAGCCGCGGUAAUACGUAGGGGGCAAGCGUUGUCCGGAAUGAUUGGGCGUAAAGGGCGCGUAGGCGGCCUUUCAAGUCUGAAGUGAAAUUCCCGUUUUUAAGAUGGGAACUGCUUUGGAAACUGUAAGGCUUGAGUGCAGGAGAGGUCAGUGGAAUUCCCAGUGUAGCGGUGAAAUGCGUAGAGAUUGGGAGGAACACCAGUGGCGAAGGCGACUGACUGGACUGUAACUGACGCUGAGGCGCGAAAGUGUGGGGAGCAAACAGG